CUCGGUUAAGGUAAGUGGGGUUGUAAUGGUUGAGGUUUUGUUAUCGGUAGGGUAGCCUAUUUUUCUUUCAUGGUAGCGUGUUGAGGGUAAUCGUGAAAUCUGAUGUUGCUACGAUUAUUUUGGUGUAGGGGAAGGCGAUGAGCAAUGAGUUUCGUUUCUUGGACUUGAACGGGGUUGUGGUGGUUCUUGUCAUUGGUUUUGAAAGGCUUGGGAGUGGUUUUGCAUCAAACGGAUACCAUAUGUGUUCCCAAAAUGCGAAAAACUGAGUUUUAGCGAAAGCCAAAAAAUUGCACUGUCGAUGCCACAUGGGCGUGUAGUCGCCCGUGUAGAUGGCCGUAUGCGAGACACAGCCUUGUGGUCAACGAAGGCAUAGUCAUGCGCAGCACACAACUGUGUGGUGACGUGAGUAUGGCCGUGCGGGCCACACGGGUUAGGCCAAGUUAGGUAAUCCAUAGACUUAGGUGGAUCAGUGCGGCAGAAAGUUAGCGGUGACCACAUGCCCGUACAUUACUAAAUUUUGAGGCUGAACUCGGCACACCGGAGGUCUCGGAGUUACGUGUUUUAAAUAAUUAGUUUAAGUACUGUUUUGAAAACUGUGGUACGAACUUUUGUAUUAAAUACAUAUAAGCAUUAUUUGGACUGAGGUUUUUUGUAAUAUCGGGUUUUUAUAACUGAGAGUUUUUACAGAACUUAAACAUUGUAAUGUUUUUCAGCUUGUUAAACUAAAAAUAAUUUUUUAUCUCUUCGGUGAUCAAUGUAACCUUUAAGAUUCAGUCAGAA